UAGCGGAGAAAUUCCAAUCGAACUCGGAGAUAGCUGGUUCUCCUCGAAAUAGCUUUAGGGCUAGCCUUGAUGUAAAGAUAUAUGGGGGUAGAGCACUGAAGGUGCUAGGGGCCUAAACCAGGUUACUGAACACUAUCAAACUCCGAAUACCAUAUAUUAGUAGUCAGGAGUCAGACUGCGGGAGCUAAGUUCCGUGGUCAAAAGGGAAAGAGCCCAGAUCGUCAAUUAAGGUCCCAAAGAUAUAGCUAAGUGGGAAACGAUGUGAAAUUGCGUAAACAACCAGGAUGUUGGCUUAGAAGCAGCCAUACAUUUAAAGAGUGCGUAAUAGCUCACUGGUCGAGUGAAUUUGCGCGGAAAAUUACCGGGGCUAAGCUAUACACCGAAAUUGCGGGUUCAUAAGUAAUUAUGAGCGGUAGAGGAGCAUUCUGUAGUAGGGUGAAGUAUGAUCGAAAGGACAUAUGGACGAGGCAGAAGAGAGAAUGCUGGAAUAAGUAGCGAGAGCAAAGUGAGAAUCUUUGCCGUCGAAAGUCUAAGGUUUCCUGGGGAAGGUUCGUCCGCCCAGGGUAAGUCGGGACCUAAGGUGAGGCCAAGGAGGCGUAGCCGAUGGAUAGCAGGUAUAAAAUUCCUGCACUACCGAAAUACUUAAAAACGAUAAGGGACGCAGGAGAGGAAGGAAAUCCGGGAAGAGGAAAAACCGGAGCCGAAAGGCAUAGUGAAAAUUUAAAGUAACGAAGUUCCAAGAAUCACACUGACGAGAAAAGCUUAUUGACAUUGUAUUAAGGUACCCGUACCGCAAACCGACACAGGUAGAUGAGGAGAGGAUCCUAAGACGAGCGAGAGAAGUACUGUUAAGGAACUCGGCAAACUAACCCCGUAACUUAGGGAGAAGGGGUACCUAUGUAAAAGUAGGUCGCAGAGAAGAGUCCCAAGCAACUGUUUAACAAAAACACAGGUUUCUGCUAAAUCGAAAGAUGAAGUAUAGGAGCUGACGCCUGCCCAGUGCUGGAAGGUUAAGGGAAAGAGUUAGAUGUAAGUCGAAGCUUAGAACUAAAGCCCCAGUGAACGGCGGCCGUAACUAUAACGGUCCUAAGGUAGCGAAAUUCCUUGUCAGGUAAGUUCUGACCCGCACGAAAGGCGUAAUGAUUUGGGCACUGUCUCAACAGCCCGCCCGGCGAAAUUGUAGUACCGGUGAAGAUGCCGGUUACCCGCGACAAGACGGAAAGACCCCAUGGAGCUUUACUGUAGCUUGAUAUUGGGUUUCGGUAAUUUAUGUACAGGAUAGGUGGGAGACUAUGAAGCAAGAGCGUCAGCUUUUGUGGAGUCACCCUUGGGAUACCACCCUUAAAUUAUUGGAAUUCUAACCUGUGAUCAUGAACUGGUCAGGGGACAAUGUCAGGCGGGCAGUUUGACUGGGGCGGUCGCCUCCUAAAGAGUAACGGAGGCGCCCAAAGGUUUCCUCAACCCGGACAGAAAUCGGGUGAAAGAGUGCAAAGGCAGAAGGAAGCUUAACUGAAAGACAGACAUGUCGAGCAGAUACGAAAGUAGGGCUUAGUGAUCCGGUGGUAUGUGAGUGGAAAUGCCAUCGCUCAACGGACAAAAGUUACCCUGGGGAUAACAGGCUUAUCUCUCCCAAGAGUUCACAUCGACGGGGAGGUUUGGCACCUCGAUGUCGGCUCAUCGCAUCCUGGAGCUGAAGUCGGUUCCAAGGGUUGGGCUGUUCGCCCAUUAAAGCGGUACGCGAGCUGGGUUCAGAACGUCGUGAGACAGUUCGGUCCUUAUCUGUCGCAGGCGCAGGAUAUUUGAAGGGAGUUGUCCUUAGUACGAGAGGACCAGGAUGAACAUACCGAUGGUGCAACAGUUGUCACACCAGUGGCAUAGCUGUGUAGCUAAGUAUGGAAGGGAUAAACGCUGAAAGCAUCUAAGUGUGAAGCCCACCCUAAGAUAAGAUAUCCCACAACGUUAAGUUGGUAAGAUACCAGGAAGACUAACUGGUUGAUAGGUUGGAGGUGUAAGUGCAGUAAUGCAUUAAGCUGACCAAUACUAAUAUAUCGAGGGCUUAACCAU
rnacentral:rRNA from 1 species